rnacentral:lncRNA from 1 species
AGAUUUUAGGUUUCUAGAAAAAAAAUAAUUAUAUAUAUAUACAUAUAUAUAUAUAUAUAUACACACACACACACACCAAAACGAAGAUAGAAAUUGAUUUCCAGUGCCAUUGGGGAAAAGGCAGUAUUUGACAGUUUGCCAUCUGAAUCACUUUCAAAGGUUGUUUUUUUUUGUGUGUGUGGAAAAUCUGGCUCAAGAAAUUUUUCUCUCUUUGAUAGAUCUGGAUCUGAUUUUCACCCUUUAUCACACCAAAGGAUAGCCCUCACCAACCCACAAUGUAAGCUGCAGAAUGUUGAUGAGAACGAGAACCAAGAGCUCUCAGCUGAGGCUGAAAGUCCACGUGAGCCAACAAACUGCAGGCUCCAAACCCCACUAAGCCUGUGCUCUGACCAUAAACUGGAUCCCAAGGAAGCCCUGAAUACACUG